rnacentral:lncRNA from 1 species
UCCACUCUAUCUCUCUCAAUCUAGUAGAAACUAGAAGAUCUAUUUCUACUUUACAUUGGUUGCUAAGCCUAAAAAGAAAUAUUAUUUAGAGAAGAGGUUUUCCUUCGAGGGCACCCCUCAAUCUCUAUGAUAAUUUCUUGUCUCCUCCAGGAGCCAGAGGGGGUCUCCUUAUAUAGUCCUCCCCUUCUAUGCGUUUUUGGGUCGAUAGGCGAGGUGGUACUAUGUUAUUCUGGAUCCAAUAGGUCGGUGGAACGUCGUGUGCGAAGAGAGUCCGGAACGGAGUCCAGAGGGGGGCGGGCGCCCAGGUCCUCAGGGCGGGCGCCCUGGGCCUGGCCCCUUUCGGGCUCCGCUUCCUUCCCGUGGCUUCUAGAGUCUUCUAGAUGGUAGAAAAUUGCGCGGUGGGUUGAUAUCUUUAUGUAAUCCCGACAUGUAGGCCUUUCUUCCUUAUUUCCUGAUAACCCCCUGCAGAAAUAGACAAACACCAAAACUCGUGGAAUUCUGUCAGAUAAAACCCUAAGUCUAGAUGUUGAUUUCAUUUGGAUCCUUUUCUUUGUUUAUUUGAUAAUUAAAUUUGAUACUUAAGGACCGUCAACAAACUCCCCCAAGCUUACCUCUUGCUCGUCCCUGAGCAAGGAUGAACUCAAGAGUUUCUGCAGUGGUUUCAUUUCUUAGAAGUACACACGCAUUUAAGCAAGAUCUCAUCUCUGAGUUAGAAUAAACUGUUAAGACUUAAAACUUACUCAUUUUACCUUUCACCAUAGGGCUUGUAACGUCACUUGUGUCUUGAGCAGUUAAAAGAUAGAACGGUCAAGUCAAGCACCAUGUAUCUUGUUCUUUGAUCAACUAUAGCUCUGGAGUUUUUGCAGAUUUUCAAAUAAAACUCAGAGAUUCCUUGUAUAAUUCUCUCUAGUCUCUCUUUUGUGGUAUUUUUGGAUCCUUACCAAGGCAGUGAUGGUAUAUGCCUUCUCUCAAGAUAUGUAGUAUUUGUGGUAUAAGGCAUAGUGACAUUGCCUUCUCUCUCACCCUACUCUAAUAAGGCUUUAAUAUCUGGAGCUCAUAGGUGGGAGAUAAAAUAUACAUACUUACAAGACAUUUAUUGCAUAGUCAAACCAUGGAUCCAAAGAAACAAAUCAAUAAGCCAAAUCAAGAUGUGCAUGUGUGGCGAAUGAAUGGUGUAUGGUGAUGAUGGUGAUAACAAUGGUGAAAACAAUGGUGGUGGAAGUCUAAUUCUACUUUUGCUCUUUGAGGGGAUACAUACCUUCCUUGCUUUUGAAACUUUAUGAGGAGAAUGAGAUGCUCUUCUUUUUCUUUUUUUCGAGGUUCCGGGCACUUGCCCCUUUUUUAUUUCCGCGUAUAUUAUUUAUUUAUUUAUUUUUUCUUCUUUUUUUUCUUUUUUUUCCUUUCUAGAGCACUCAUCUCCUGAAAUAAUGUAGCAAGUGGUAGUAACCAAAAUAGUUGGAGCAUUUAUUUCACAGGGAAUAACAGGGAUAGGAAAAUGUUUUUUGGCUAUUCUCUCCCGGAUUAGGAGUAGAAUAAUUUUGGGUAAAACUGGAGAUGGAAAUGAGUGGAUAUAUGUGGAUGGUACUUCCGGAGUAGAAGUAGCAUAUAUGAGUGAACGUGCAAGUGAAUCUUGAUUUAACCACAUGACAAGCUCCUAAGGGUCUACACAGCUUGACCACACUCAAUGCUCAUAAGCAGUAAAUAGUAAAUGUGUGGCUCAAGGUCUAGCAAGCAUGUAUAUAUGGCUGUGGUAGGAAUUUAAACUCUCAUCAUACAGGAACUCAUCAUACAAUAUUUUAAAGAUUUUCAAAGAUAAAAUUCUCCAGAAUUCUAGCAUCUCUAGGAACAGAUAAACAGCAGCUCAACCUUCCCAUAUCGUAUCCGAUAACAACUUAGACUUCAGAUCAAGUUUUCAUCCCACAAGUUUAGGUCUAGAGCAAGCCUUAAAUUAUAACAGUUAUAUCUAAACUUGAGAGAGAACUUCAAAUUUGCAAAUUAGGCAGAGCAACUAUUCAUCAUAUCCAUGCUUAAGUUUUAUUAUUAAAAUUCAGAUUAGCAUAGCCACUUUAUUAAACACACUAAGCAAAAGAUAUAUAAGCAUAAAAUCUUUAUUUGGUUUUUCAUAGUUAUGUGUAUUUAUAUUCUAAUAUAGUAUAAAGAUAGAUAGAAAUACUUAUCGAGAUAAAUGGGGGUGCUCUCCCACAAGCUGAAUUUUGACGUAAUUUCUCUUGAUGUAGCUAGCAUGUGGCAGAGGUGUGUUUGAAAGUCAGCAGUAUUUUGACAGCGAUUAGAAUGUCCUCCGUCUGCUAGUCUUCUUGAUUCUUAAAUUCUGUGGAGCACAAAUAGACAACAAAGCUUGUAGAACUGAUUAAGUGUUAGCAUAAAUAUCUAGCCUUUAUCAUCUUGAGACUCCUUAAUAAUAAUUAUUACUCCCCGUUUUUUUUAUAUUUUCAUUUUAUAAAGCAGAAAAAUAUUUAUUUUAUUUUUAUGCCACCACAGUGAAUGUACUUAUGGGUUUUAUGCCACUCGUCUACUCACAUGGGGCUUACAGUUUUUUCACAUUUUUAUUUUCUUUCUAGGAUAAUACGAACAUGAUUAACUAAGCAAACUAUAAUUGAAUAAUUGAAAGGAAAAGGAUAACUACCAAGUUUACCUCUUGGCAAGACGUUCGGUGUUUUUUAAGUCCUCUGAACGGGACUCUCCGUUUUCUUAGUCGUCCUGAGGUUCGUUGGGUGGCGUAGUCGGUACUUCCGGCAGCGCCUCCUCUUCAUUUAUAGUUAUCUUCAUUUUCCAUACCUGACUCGGUGUUACAGUCUCCUCAGGACAGUUCUGUUCAAGUUGUAUGUCUUCAGUCCUUAUCACUUCUCCUUCGUAGUCUACCCAUCCGUCCUUGAUGAUUUGCCUCCUCUGGUUGCGGUUGCGUUGUCUUCUUCUUGUCCUGACCUGCUUAGAAUCUUCAACUAUAUAAUCAUUAAAGUAGUGGUGUACCUUUCUUAGAGGGGAAGUGCAUGUGGACUUCUCCAGUUCCAAUAUAGAUAAUGGCUUUGAUAGUGUUUAGGAACGGUCUUCCAAGGAUGGUGGAUGGAUCAUACUUGUCUUCUCCCAUGUCAAUGACCUGAAAAUUGUUUGAAGCUGAAUGUAUCUUGGUUGUAGGGGCAUGGUUCCAUGCAGGAGCUGAUAAGUGACUGCGGCCAUUAUGUUGUCGUCAGAUCCGGUGUCGUAGAGUGCCUUCUGAAAAGAGUAUCCAUUGUUUGUGCAUUCGAUUCUUGGAACACCAGGGUCGUCCUUCUUGAUCAAGAAAGGUGACUUGAGUCGACGAUCUUGACCUCCUUGAGCUGCAGUGACCAUCUUAGCUGACUCGGUCGACAUUUGCUUGUUCCUGUUCCUCCUGUUGGUCCUCUUCCUUGGUUCAUGUCGGGAUUGCUCUGAAGUUUGUGUAGUCUUGUUCUUGAAGGAAAAUCUACUUCUUCCCCUUGAUGUAGAAACUGAUCUUGGCAGCAUUAGCGUAGAUGACAGCUCUGGUGUUUGGGAAUGGCCUCCGUAAGAUGAUGGGUGCCCUCUCCUCAGUACCAGUCUCUAUCAUCACGAAGUUUGCUGAAGCGUACAAGGUACCAACUUGGACACAGAGGUUCUUCAAUAUUUCCUUUGGGAAACUAAGUGUCUGAUCUCCAUUGUGUUUGUGCUCGUAGAUCCCGGUUCUUCACUUGGUGGAAUCUAGGAGUUGUAAAACUCCUCCAUGUUUUGUUUGAAGUGUACCUGUUCAUAGAGACAAGGCAGAGAUCAAGUGCAUGGGCCCUGUUGGUGGAAAACACCAACAGAACCAAAAGUGUAUUUGUUCUUCUCUAACCUUAAGCAUAGUGAGCAAGACAAAGUUGAUGGAUCAUGAGUGUAGCAUUUAAAACAUUUGUUAGAUCAGAUGGCUCAACCUAAUGGAAAGAUAAUCUAUCUAUAUUUAUGUUUUGUUUAUAUCUUCCAAAGAUUGAAUGUGCAACAUUUUAGCUUAUAUGAUUAGGAGUGUGGGAUCACGAAGGUAGUACUAAGAAAAAAGAUUAAAGGACUAAUCAUGUCGAAUUAAUUGGGUUGGUUAAUUUGGAGUUACAAAUCAUAUAUGUUUGUCUCUUUAUUUAUGUGAAUGCUAGAACCAAGGAGAAGCUUAUAAAAGUGAUAGUCAAGUACCUUAAAAUGUUACCUUACUUGAAGAGUGACGGUACAGUAUUACCUCGUGGAAGCUUUCCUUUCUUAGCGGUUGUGCAUCGUGUUUGUGGCACCCUCCAUGAAUCAUCUCUUAUGAGCUACGUCUUUCUUGUGCAAAUUGUUUAAACUUCAUGUGUCACUUUCUUCAUCUCAAAUGUGAGUUUAUCUCAGGACUUCCCAGGUUGAUAUUGAAAGUUUUCCUGCAGGGGUUAGUCCAAAAUAUACCAAUAUCUACUCAAGCAGUUUUUAGUUCAGUAACCAAACUAGACUCCAUGUCUAAUCAGAUUAAGGAAGGCUAUUUAAACUAAGCACCACGCUUAAUUUAAAUGCCAUUGGAAGUGUGACCAGUACUUCCAAACUAACACUUACUAGGAUAAACAAAGGUAGCAUGAUGGCUUUUAUAGAGAUCUACUCAAGUGGAGAUGAAGUAGUGUGAUUAUUUAACAAAUUGAGCAUGUCUCAAAGGUAAGGACAACCAACAUGGCAAAGGAUGUUUUAUGUAAAGUACUCCCCCAAGCUUGAAUUUUGCAAAAUUCAAGAUUGGAUGAAUUUAAUUUAAUGUUGCAUGAUGAUUGGUUGGGCAUACCUUGCGCUUGUCAUUCAUCCGAUCUUCUUGCUCUAAUCCUAAAAAGGUUAGUGGCAAGAAUACCCGAAGGAAUAUUUCUACAAUUAUCUCAUAUGCUCAAUACACAAGGCAAUGUUGCAAAUAAUUAGAAGUUCAUGUUACGAUCUGAUAAGUGCUUGUUUAAGGACGCUAAGCUUGUCCUUGGGGAACCAUCAAUUAACUCAACGAGAUCUGCAAUAUUUAUUAUAGACAUAUGCAUCGACAACCGCCCUUUUAAAGUUUUUAUAAAUAGAAAAGAAGAGGGGGUUGGAGAUCUCAAAUGUGGUAAGGAUGGAGAGACAAAUUGAUUGGAGAGAUGUUUUAUAUGAGCAAGGACUGGGUGAGGUAUUUAUGAAAUAACUUCCAUGCUCACUGUUGUUUCUCUCAUUCUCAAACUCCAAGAAUGAUUCUUCAUGAAUGUUUAAAAUUCCUCUAGGAUUGUCUCUCAAGUUUGUUUUAUCUAUCCAUUCAAUGGUGAUAGCACAUGGAUUUUUAAUGCCCUCUAGCCAUUGAUGUUGCUCUUCUCGAUCCUCCUUCUUAUGCAUGGGAUGUCUAGAGAGAUUCAUAUGAUUAUUGGGAGGUUUAAGAGAAAGAGCAUAGUAGAAUUUAUUAAGCUCAAGGAAGGUGUGGAUAGCCGAAUUAUGGGUUUGAAAUGUUUGGAAAUUGGCUAUUGAAACUUCCUUUCCUUGUCUGGGAGAUGAUUCCUUCUCUAUUUCUAAGAUUUUUCUAUGAAGACUAGUACAAGAAGGAUGUCCACGAAUGAAGACAUACCUUCCUUUACUAAUAGAUAAAGAAAGAAGGACUCUACCAAAGGUUAUAUAAUUAAGACCAAUGUGAAAAUAUUCAGGAAAAACAUGGUCUUGUAGGGCUAGGUCUAAACCAGAAUUUAUAGAAAGAUUAACAGAUUCCCUAGGUGUAGCUAAAAGUGCAUUAUCUUCUUGAUUAAAAGAUAGGACCUCAGCUAUAGAAAAGGGUUGGUUUUGACCUAUUGCAAUCAACUCCGGACACAGAUCAUAAUUAGGGGCAGGACGUGUUGACUCCCAUGGUCUAUGGCUGGUCUCCGAAGGUGCAAAGAAUUUAAUAAUAAGUAUGGAAUUUGAGUUAUCCAUAAAGAUAAAAACAAAAAGAUAAAAGAAUAAAAGUAUAAAAGUAUAAUACAAGAUAAUAGCAAGAUUCAAAGUUAUCUCAGCAAACCGUCUUUCUCCCCGGCAACGACGCCAGAAAUGCUUGUUGAUAUUUGGUAACGCAAUUAGAAAAUGAUCCGCAAGCGCACGGAUAUCGGUGAGCAUUUCACCCGGGAGGUUUUCCAGAGUAUCGUAUUUAUAUUUUUACCACUGGGAGAAAGGAUCCAUCUGACUAACCAAAUCUAUCGCUACUAUCCCUUUAGGCUACAAAGAAUGUCUCUCGAUGUGAGUGAUGUAUAGAGAAGACUGCAACCGUAGUCUCGUUCUAACCUUGGUAAGGAUGAUCUACUGUUCUAUUGGGGAGGCUCACGGAAUCUAGACAACACAAAGGAUGUUCGACCCGCACCUAUAAACCUACCCGUCCUGCUAACGAGAUGUGAUCUACAAAGGUAACUCGGAAAUGUCACGUUCCUCGCUACUACCACGGUCCAGCUAGUCAGGGGAUAUCUAUGAGUACCCUAGCCUAAACACCACGUUUACGCUAGCAAGUGAUUACUCUAAUACUCAACCGGAAGAGGAUUAAAGUAAACUCAUAAACCAAAGAACAAUAAAACAAGAACUUACUAGUAUUAGAAGUCGAAUUACUGAAGAAUCUUAGAAGCAAGCCUCGGGUUAGGAGACUUGAUCCCGUAGGUACAACUCGGAGUAGACACCGACAGGCCGGCCUUCCUCCGAUCCACACCUCCACUCUAUCUCUCUCAAUCUAGUAGAAACUAGAAGAUCUAUUUCUACUUUACAUUAGUUGCUAAGCCUAAAAAGAAAUAUUAUUUAGAGAAGAGGUUUUCCUUCGAGGGCACCCCUCAAUCUCUAUGAUAAUUUUUUGUCUCCUCCAGGGGCCAGAGGGGGUCUCCUUAUAUAGUCCUCCCCUUCUAUGCGUUUUUGGGUCGAUAGGCGAGGUGGUACUAUGUUAUUCUGGAUCCAAUAGGUCGGUGGAACGUCGUGUGCGAAGAGAGUCCGGAACGGAGUCCAGAGGGGGGCGGGCACCCAGGUCCUCAGGGCGGGCGCCCUGGGCCUGGCCCCUUUCGGGCUCCGCUUCCUUCCCGUGGCUUCUGGAGUCUUCUAGAUGGUAGAAAAUUGCGCGGUGGGUUGAUAUCUCUAUGUAAUCCCGACAUGUAGGCCUUUCUUCCUUAUUUCCUGAUAACCCCCUGCAGAAAUAGACAAACACCAAAACUCGUGGAAUUCUGUCAGAGAAAACCCUAAGUCUAGAUGUUGAUUUCAUUUGGAUCCUUUUCUUUGUUUAUUUGAUAAUUAAAUUUGAUACUUAAGGACUGUCAACACCGGUGUGUCGAAUAAUUACAAGAUAAAAAUUUGGGAUAAGAUUAAGACGAGGUUCCAGUUUUCUAUGAAUGUGCCAGAAGAUCUAGUGAAGGUAUAUACAAUGAAGCAAUAUGCGGUUAGUUUUCGAAAUUGGAGGUUGGAGAUGAAUGUCAAGUAUGCAAAGACAGGGAUGGAUCCGAUAACCAAAUACAAGAUUACUAACAGGCAGUGGGUUGUUUUUCUAGAGCAGAGGAAUGACCCUAACUUCUUAGCUCGGAGCGAAGCCACCUCCCAGCUCGCAAAGAGGAACAAGUACCACCACCAUCUAGACACAGAUGGUUACCAGCACCAAGUUCCUAAAUGGAGGCAAGAAGAGGGUGCGAAGAAGGCAGUAGGGUUGCCAGUGCUGUCCGAGCAAGUCGGUGAAAGGUCCGCGAAUUGGAUCCGUGCUUGGAAACCAAAGGAAACUGAGACGGGUGUGUCCUUUGAAGACCCAAUGCUUGAUGAAGCAAUGAAGAUGAAAUAUUUAAAAUGUAUGUUGCUAUAUUUGAAGACCAACCAAUAUCAAUAUUUUAAAUAAUAACAAUAUAAAUAAAUAAAUAAAUAAUAUAUUUUUUAAAACGGUUCCACAGGCGGCUCUCUUAGGGAACCGCCUGUGUAAAUAUGCCAUUUACACAGGUGGUUCCCUAAGAGAGCCGCCUGUGGAAAUGUUUUCUACUGGCGGCUCUCAAGGAACCGCCUGUGGAAAUGGACGAUUUCUACUGGCCCUCAGCGCAGGCGGUGCUAGAAAACACCUGUAGAAAUAGGUUACCAACCGCCUGUAUAGUGUGCCCCUGUACUAGUGGAAAAAUGAUUUAUAGGCAAAUGUUAAUUGUUAAGCUCUUUGUCAUUGACUACUGGAGGAAGGUAAAUGUUUAUUUAACAUAUAUAAAAAUAAUAUAUCUGCUGUUCAAAAUACAUCAAGGCUCUUUAUGGAACCUAUAAAUACUCUUCUUGAUAAAGGAACUUGCAAAUGUUAGCAGAACAGUAAACCUUACCUUCUUAGGACAUCCUUCACUCCUCUUAUUCUUUUCAUAACACAAGAUAUGUUUGCAUCCGAAUUUAAGUAUUAAAUGCCUAAAAGAAGUGAACAUUACUACCUUAAAUAUCCAACCAUGAACACAAGAGCUAAUUACAGGAAUUGAGGGAAAAUUAUUUUUAUACCUAGUACCUAGUACUUGAAGCCUCAAGGUUGCUUGCUUCUUCCCUGUUAGUGAGAACAUUGACACAUGUACAGUAAUAGUUGACACCUGCAAAGUGCCGCUGCCUGCAGUGUCACAUUGCAGCUAAAGGUGCGCGUACAAACAACAGCAGAAUAGCAAAACAAGAGCUAAAUUAUCCUCAUUUCAGGCCAGCACUUGUGUGAGUUUGUCUAAAAAAAUCCUCACAUCCAGGAACUUUGUCUCAUAAAUUGGACAUCAAAAAGAGAUUCAUAUUGAGCAGCCAGAGACCACCACCUGACGCCACUCAACUUCCAGCACCUAACUAUCCAGAAUCAUUCGUAGGAUCUUGGUGCCACGUCCAAAAAGAAUGCAAUCCAAUAGCCAGCACAAACAGAUGCCAUCCAAAGUUAAGAAUUUCCAAGUCAACAUUACCAUAGAUUGGAGAAAAGGCUUUUUUUAUCAUUAAUCAAUGGCAUAUCAUGUAUCACACAAACAAAUACAGGGCCACGUGAAAAUGCAGGUGGUCGGUGCCUACUGUUCGGCAAUGGCGACAUGAUGCCCAUUUUGGCUUGUGGUUGGCAUAGCAGUAUGUGGCCAAGGUUAGGCAUGCAUGCGCUUUCUUGAGGGGCACGAGGCAGACCAUCGGUGGUGGCAGGACGCGCGGCACGGUCACAGCAGGAUCCAACGGGUCUGGCUCCAGCACGAGGUGGCAGGGUGCGGCGUUGGUUGAGGAGGAGGACUGACCGCUUGUGCAGGUCGGUGGCGGCUCCAAGCUAGUAUGGAGACGAGGGGGAUGGGAUCUAGGUUAACAACAACCGAGUGUGGAAGACACAGGAAAUAGCUGCCGCCCCGCAUUACUUGAAUCGUGUGUUUCAACAACGUCCAACACUCGAAUUUUGGGCCAUCGGAUGUUGAUCUGACGUUUCCUAUUGUUUUAUGUUCUUUAUGUGUUUCGGUUAGCUAUGUAUGUUCUUAUUUGGACUCGUGGGCCCAGUAUUUGUUUAGCCCAAUGUUAUUUUUUGUGUAACGCAAAACAUAUGCUCAAGACAUAUGAACACACGUGAAAAAAAGUCAGCAAGCUUCUUUGGUGAAUAUUUAUUUGUUACGCUACAAUACGACCUACAGCUGCCUAAUGAUAUAGCUUUUCUCCACACACACACAAUAAAAAACAAAAAAAGACAAGAAACAAAAAAAAGAGGGUAGACACAAAACAAAAAAAAACAUUGUGAAUAAAUUAUGAAAAAUAAAAAAGACAAAAAACAAAUAAAAAACAAAAGGAAAACACACACACACACACACACCGCGCACACACACAACAAAUACAAAAAAAGAAAAAGAAAACACACACACACACACCGACCACACACACACAACACACACAAUAAAAAUAACAAAAAAAAAUAAAAAAGACAAAAAAAAAGAGGGUAGAUACAACAAAAAAACAUUGUCAAUAAAUUACGAAAAAUAAAAAAGAAAAACAAAUACAAAAAAAGGAAAAGGAAAAAACAAAAAAAACAUUGUCAAAAAGUUAUGAAAAGUAAUAAAGGAAAAAAACAAAAAAAAGACAAGGAAAACAAAAAAAUAAAAAAAAAACAAGCCCAACCUAAGGCCUGUUGGGUAUUUUAAACGCAAACAGAAAAAUCCGCAAGCGUACGGAUACCGAUGUAGCCUUCACCCGGGAGUAUUCCAGAGUAUCGAUUUUCCACAGAGAACGUGACUGUACUAAUUAAGAUCCAAGAUCGCCCAAGGAUAACUAUAUAAUUGUUUUUGGUGGGAAGAGAAGAAGUUUUCUGAGAGUUCUCUAGUUGAUCUAAGAAUCAAGAAUUACUUCAAGAUUAUCUAUAUCGGGACAUCAGAGCACUAACCACAGAAAGAGAUGAGAAGGGGGCUAGGAAGGUCUGACUACGGUCCUACAAACACCGAUCCGAACGUGGUGGAAUACGUCGACUGUUAGGGCUGUCACUACCCUAAGGCUACCACAACAAUCCGCAGGAUUGGGUGCAAUUCUAGGUAAUUGCAAGACUAAACACCACGUCUAAUCUAUUAAUUAAUACUCUAGCGUUAUAAAGACUAGAGCACUUGAUGCAAGCGGGAAUCCAAUAAAUAAGUUGAAUGUAAACAAAAGUAGUUAAAGAACUCAGGAAUUAUGAAUUGAAGAACCUAGAGAACGAUGAAGAACGAACCUGAUGCUGCAAAAGUAUAAUGUUGAGGAAGAUCCGACAGAUCCGGCUCCUCCUUCGCUCUCCUCUUCUCUCUCCCUAUUGUCUAGAUUACAACUAGAACUAACUAGAACUAGAACUAGAGGAACUAGAACUAGAACUAGAUGAACUAGAACUAGAUCUAGAUGAACUAGAGGUAGAACUAGAAGAACUAGAGGGAUCCUCUCUACUUGGAUGAAGAAUUGAAACCCUAACUUGGAUUCUGUAGUAUGAUCUCCAGGGGCCAGGGGGCCUUGCUUAUAUAGUCUUUUCAUAUGAAUCUGGGCCGUCAGAUCAAACCGACAUCAAUCGCACGGUUUUCCUUGAUCCUUUAGGUCGGUGGAGCAUAAUCCGCAAAACGUGUCCUGAUUGAGCACUGUAGCUGGGCGGGUGCCCAGGAGAGUAGGGCGGGCGCCUUGCCUCCGAGCCCGAUUGCCUUCCCGUUCGUUCCCGUGGCUUCUGGAGUCUUAUAGAUGAUAGAAAAUUGUGCGGCACGUUAAUAUCUCUAUGUAAACCCGACAUGUGGGCCUUUCUUCCGUAUUUCCUGAUAACCCCCUGCAGAAAUAGACAAACACCAAAACUCGUGGAAUUCUGUCAGAUAAAACCCUAAGUCUAGGUGUUGGUUGUAUUUGGAUCCUUUUCUAUGAUUAGUUGAUGGUUAAAUGUGAGCAUUAAGGACCGUCAACAAGCUCCCCCAAGCUUAACCUUUGCUCGUCCCUGAGCAAAGAUAGACUCAAGAGUUUCUGCAGUGGUUUCAUGCCUUAGAGGUACACAUGCGUUUUAAAUAAGAUCUCAUCUCUGGGUUAGGUUAAACUGUUAAGAUUUAAACUUACUCAUAUUACCUUUCACCAUAGGGCUUGCAACCAUCACUUGUGUCUUGAGCAGUUAAAAGAUAGAACGGUCUAGUCAAGCGCCAUGUCUCUUGUUUUUUGAUUAACUAUAGCUCUGGAGUUUUUGCAGAUUUUCAAAUAAAACUCAGAGAUUCCUUGUAUGACUCUCUCUAGUCUCUCUUUUGUGGUAUUUCUGGAUCCUUACCAAGGUAAUAAAGGUGUAUGCCUUCUCUCAAAGUAUGUGGUAUUUUUGGUAUGAGGCAUAGUGACAUUGCCUUCUCUCUCACCCUACUCUAAUAAGGUUUUGAUAUUGGAGCUCAUAGGUGGGAGACAGCUAAUACAUACUUACAAGACAUUUAUUGCAUAGUCAAACAAUGGAUCCAGAAGAACAAGUCAUUAAGUCAAAUCAAGAUGUGCAUGUGUGGCGAAUGAAUGGUGAUAACAAUGGUGAAAGUCUAAUUCUACUUUUGCUCUUUUUGAGGGGAUACAUACCUUCCUUGCUCUUUUGAAACUUUUGGGAAGAAUGAGAUGCUCUGUAUUUUCUUUUUCUUUCCUCUCAGGUGGGUAUCUUGUACCCCUAAUUCUACUGUCGGACACUUGUCCAUUUUUACCUCUCGUCUCACUUUUUUUUUCUUUCGAGGUUCCGGGCACUUGCCCCUUUUUAUUUCCUCGUAUUAUUUCUCUUUUUUUCUCUCUUUUUUUAGAGCACUCAUCUCCUAAAAUAAUAUAGCAAGUGGUAGUAACAAGAUAACUUGAGCAUUUAUUUCACAGGGGAAAAACAGAAAUAUUUUUGGCUAUUCUCUCCCGGAUUAGGAGUAGAAUAUUUUUGGGUAGUUCUGGAGAUGGAAAUGGAUGGAUAUAUGUGGAUGCGUACUUCCGAAGUAGAAGUAGCAUGUAUGAGUGAACGUGCAAGUGAAUCUUGGUUUAACCACAUGACAAGCUCCUAAGGGUCUACACAGCUUGACCACACUCAAUGCUCAUAAGCAGUAAAAAGUAAAUGUGUGGCUCAAAGUCUAGCAAGCAUGUAUAUAUGGCUGUGGUAGGAAUUUAAACUCUCAUCAUAGAGAAACUCAUCAUGCAAUAUUUUAAUGAUUUUCAAAGAUAAAAUUCUCCAGAAUUCUAGCAUCUCUAGGAACAGAUAAACAGCAGCUCAACCUUCCCAUAUCAUAUCCGUUAACAACUUAGACUUUAGAUCAAGUACUCUCCCCACAAGUUCAGGUUUAGAGCAAACCUUAAUUCAUAACAGUGAUGCCUAAACUUGAGAGAGAUUUCAAUUUAGAGAACUAGUCAUGGUAGAGCAACUAUUCAUCAUUUCCAUGUG